UACGGAGGGUGCAAGCGUUAUCCGGAUUCACUGGGUUUAAAGGGUGCGUAGGUGGGUCUGUAAGUCAGUGGUGAAAUCUCCGAGCUUAACUCGGAAACUGCCAUUGAUACUAUAGGUCUUGAAUUAUCUGGAGGUGAGCGGAAUAUGUCAUGUAGCGGUGAAAUGCUUAGGUAUGACAUAGAACACCAAUUGCGAAGGCAGCUCACUACGGAUAUAGUGACACUGAGGCACGAAAGCGUGGGGAUCAAACAGG
rnacentral:rRNA from 1 species